GGAAUAUUGGACAAUGGGGGCAACCCUGAUCCAGCCAUGCCGCGUGUGUGAAGAAGGCUUUCGGGUUGUAAAGCACUUUCAGUGAGGAGGAAAACUCUACGGUUAAUACCCGUCGGUCUUGACGUUACCCACCGGAGAAGCACCGGCUAACUCCGUGCCAGCAGCCGCGGUAAUACGGAGGGUGCAAGCGUUAAUCGGAAUUACUGGGCGUAAAGCGCGCGUAGGGGGUUUGAUAAGCGAGAUGUGAAAGCCCCGGGCUCAACCUGGGAACGGCAUUUCGAACUGUCAGGCUAGAGUAUGGUAGAGGAGUGUGGAAUUUCCUGUGUAGCGGUGAAAUGCGUAGAUAUAGGAAGGAACACCAGUGGCGAAGGCGGCACUCUGGACCAAUACUGACACUGAGGUGCGAAAGCGUGGGGAGCA
rnacentral:rRNA from 1 species